rnacentral:rRNA from 1 species
AGAGUUUGAUCAUGGCUCAGAACGAACGCUGGCGGCAGGCUUAACACAUGCAAGUCGAACGGUCUCUUCGGAGGCAGUGGCAGACGGGUGAGUAACGCGUGGGAAUCUACCUAGUUCUACGGAACAACAGAGGGAAACUUCUGCUAAUACCGUAUACGCCCUACGGGGGAAAGAUUUAUCGGAAUUAGAUGAGCCCGCGUAAGAUUAGCUAGUUGGUGGGGUAAUGGCCUACCAAGGCGACGAUCUUUAGCUGGUCUGAGAGGAUGAUCAGCCACACUGGGACUGAGACACGGCCCAGACUCCUACGGGAGGCAGCAGUGGGGAAUAUUGGACAAUGGGCGAAAGCCUGAUCCAGCCAUGCCGCGUGAGUGAUGAAGGCCUUAGGGUUGUAAAGCUCUUUCAGUAGGGAAGAUAAUGACGGUACCUACAGAAGAAGCCCCGGCUAACUUCGUGCCAGCCGCCGCGGUAAUAC